rnacentral:lncRNA from 1 species
UGGGAGGGGAGAACUUGCCAGUGCUCUCAGUCCCCAUUCUAAAAGUAGAAGAAUAGAGACCCUCCUUGGAAUCGCUGACUUCAGAGUCCUCAGAGGGGAGAUCAGCAGCCUUCACCAUCGAGGAGGUACAUCAACUACACUCUACAGAAUAUAUCUAGUUCACAGGUGUUGAUGCAAAUAAGGGAGCAGCUCCCAAAAGUAAGGAGGCU